GAAUAGGCGUAGCGGACCCGGGGGCGGUACCCGGCGCCUCCACCAUAAAAAGCCCGGCACCCUGAAUGCCCAGAAAUAUAGGGUUUUUGAGCAUUCUGGUUGCCGGAUUUUUGGGGGCGAAACAGCAUCGACGUGCGCAAUAAAGACUCGGUUUUUACCCCGGCAGAUACCGCCGCGUGUUUAGUCACGGGAUGGAUCAAAUUGAUAAGUGCCAACGAUAACGUUGCACCUGCUAAAUUCGCACUGGCUGCCUAAGCAAUUGCUGAAGCACUAGUUAAUAUUUAGCGCGGCCGCGGGGAGCCGGGCAACAGAAUCCCCGCACU
rnacentral:tmRNA from 1 species